rnacentral:rRNA from 1 species
UACGGGGGGGGGCAAGCGUUUGUUCGGAUUUACUGGGCGUAAAGGGAGUGUAGGCGGUUGGUCAAGUCGGAUGUGAAAGCUUCACCACUCAACGGGAAGAGGUCAUCCGAAACUGGCCGGCUAGAGUAGGGUAGAGGCAAGCGGAAUUCCUGGUGUAGCGGUGGAAUGUGUAGAUAUCAGGAAGAACAUCGGUGGCGAAGGCGGCUUGCUGGGCCCUUACUGACGCUGAGACUCGAAAGCGUGGGGAGCGAACAGG